UGCUCGAGGCCUCUCUUGCCGGCAAUUACGACAGGCCACUGGAAGUACGACAUCGAGGCGGUGCCAGGAAGGGCUGACGUCACCGUUCGGCCUGUGUGUGCCUGCGGGUGCCCCGGGGAGGGUGGAGCGGAGUCGCGUGGUGGACUGAGGGCGUUAUCCUGCUAAGGGUGUUGGUGACGGUUUACUUCAUUAAGUGUGUAGCUGUGAACUGUCAGGGCAAGAUUAUGACUGAACUAGAGGAGAACGUCACCCAGAGAUCUUGGACUUGGAGCUGGAUGCAGGCACUGAUGAGACUCUGGGUUUCCCUGUUGGGGGAGAGGGACCCUGUGGGAAGAUUACGUGAAGAGGGAGAGGGACCCUGUUGUCAUAAUGUCCCUAUUAUCUGAAGAGAUGACUCCAGUCUCACCUGUCACCCGACUGCAACCAGAUGAGAAGCCCCAGGUGAGACCAGUGGAAGAACUGCCUACAUGAUCUCAGACAACCUACAGAAUCACAAAAGGGGGUCAUUCCAGUGCUUUCUAUUGAUGAAACUUAAAAUUCUGCCACCUGAUGACGGAGAACUUUUUGCAGGAUCCAAGUCCAGUAUCACAAAGUGCAGGGCAAAGAAGAGUGGAUUUGGAAUGGAGAGCCAAUAAAUUGAUAAUUUGCACACCC